ACUUACUGUUCGUGGCAAGCUUAACCGUAUAGGGGAGGCGAAGGGAAACCGAGUCUGAUAAGGGCGCAUAGUCGCGGGCAGUAGACCCGAAACCGGGUGAUCUAGUCAUGGCCAGGGUGAAGGUGCCGUAACAGGUACUGGAGGCCCGAACCCACGUCUGUUGCAAAAGACGGGGAUGAGCUGUGAUUAGGAGUGAAAAGCUAAUCGAACCCGGAGAUAGCUGGUUCUCCUCGAAAGCUAUUUAGGUAGCGCCUCGGACGAAUACUACUGGGGGUAGAGCACUGUUAUGGCUAGGGGGUCAUCGCGACUUACCAAACCAUUGCAAACUCCGAAUACCAGUACGUACUAUCCGGGAGACACACGGCGGGUGCUAACGUCCGUC
rnacentral:rRNA from 1 species